AAGAGAACAAGAUGAGACGAGAAAUUGAAUAUGCCUGCAUCGAAAGAGAGUGGAUAGAGAGGGGAGAAAGAGCGGGUGCAAUGAAAUUGCUUUAUCUGGAUGAUAUUUCUCAUGUUCCCUCAGACCCUUGAAUGCAGGUAGCCGGAGGAGCGGGCAGUGGGGGGAGGAUGAAGACAGAGUUGACUGCAUUCUCCUUUUUGCCUGCAACGGUACUAAGUCACCAUUUUGUGGGGGGAAUUUUCCAAAGAACAAACUAAGGUCAGAGGAGCAUAGAGGAAAAAGUGACCAAGGGGCAAUCGCAGAUAGAUCUAGAUAAUUCUAUUUACACUAAAACACACACGAUAAAAGCUACAACAAACACACAAUCAGCGGGUUACGUGCGCGAACAAGCGAGACAGCAAAACCAAAAAUAUAUAAAUAAUUCGCGAUGAAUAAGCAAAUUGAACAAAGGCUUCCAGUGCGACGCAGUUUACUGUACCUCAUACCCAGCUCUCACUAAUUGGAGCACUAACCAAAACCAGAAGACAAAUAUCCACCAAUCAACGUCAGUACAUCAUAUAAUCAGGCCAACUACAGAGACCGCAACAGAGUUAAGGCCGAAAAAUUAUAAAUAAAUGUCACAGCACACAAAAAUCAAUUAGUAAUCCAAAAUGUCUGUCUGUCAGCUAACGAAAAACCAUUUAGCCCAAAACCAAAUCCCGAUUGCAACUGCAAUUGAAACCAUUUUUAAUCAAAUGUCAACCACAACCCGAGCACCAGAACCAGGACUCUCGCGCUCUCUCGAAUGCCAGAUUGAAGAGCAGAGGAGCAGCCAAGCGGAAGAAAGCGUAUCGCAAAAAAAUCUGAUGGAAAAUAAUAUGAAGUCUAUCUACAGUCGUGGAUGAUACUCCUCCUGCCAGCCCUCAAACCCCCCCAAACGCUGUCUUAUAUAACCAACUGUCAACAUUUCAAUUUCAUUCUUUUUCUGCGCAUUUUUUUUGCAAUUGAAAUGUUGCAAGCUCAAUGCACACGCAGCAGCACAGAGAAAAUAUAACAAUGGAAAAUUAGAGAGACGGAAAGAGAGAAUUUGGAGGCAUUGAGGAGACUAGAAGAUGCUCUUUCUAUAAGAUAUUUCUAUAAAAAUAAAUCAAAUCUACAUAUGUAUAUAUUGUAUGUAUAUUUUGGACAUGAAGAAAAUGUAACUAUGUUUUAAGAACUAAUUGAAGUUUUUGAAUGAAUUUUACAACCCUUGCUAUAAGGAAUACAUAA